UGUCCAGGGGCGGGAAUCGAACCCACAACCUUCUGCUUACCGGGCAGGUGCCAUGUCCACUAGGCUCAUACUAGGU